GUAGCUAAAGUUUGAAAACCACUGAGCCAAGCAAAAGGCAAAGAAGAAGCUGGCAUGAGUUGGUUCUGGGUUCUUGUGCAAACUCGAAAGAAUGAAAUUCACAGACAACGGAGAGUGAAUGUGAAAGAGAUCUUCAAGUCACUGGGCCUGCACAUCUUUUGUAUUAGAAAACCGAAGACAACCCAGUCCUACCUGAAUCAAUAACCAAAACAGAAGUCAAUGGACAUCCUGUGAUGCCAGCUAGAGCACACAAGCCCAGGGAAAAGCAAGCAAGUGGGGGCAAAGGAGGUGGCAAUAGGAUAGAAUUGCUGAUAUUACCCAGAGUGAGCAUAAUAUGGACAGCAAUGGGCAUAAUAUUGGGCAUAAAGGGUACUUGAAAAGAAAAGUUAAGCUUUACUAUAGAAAAUUGAAUGUGUAGUCUAAGAUUCAUACUUGUUAUAAUCAUAUAAGGUUUAUUCGUGUCUUAUAUAACACUUGACAAUUAUUAUUUUAAUUGAUUUAUCCCCAUCAAGUGAGUAGUCAUUCUAUUAUUAAAAUUAAGAAUGUUUCCCCCGAAUGUUUUCUCUGAUAUAAGGUGACUGACUCAUAGUGGGGUAGGGAA